GGUGAGUAACACGUGGAUAACCUACCUAUAAGACUGGGAUAACUUCGGGAAACCGGAGCUAAUACCGGAUAAUAUUUUGAACCGCAUGAUCCAAAAGUGAAAGACGGUCUUGCUGUCACUUAUAGAUGGAUACGCGCUGCAUUAGCUAGUUGGUAAGGUAACGGCUUACCAAGGCAACGAUGCAUAGCCGACCUGAGAGGGUGAUCGGCCACACAGGAACUGAGACACGGUCCAG
rnacentral:rRNA from 1 species